UAGGGAAUCUUCGGCAAUGGACGAAAGUCUGACCGAGCAACGCCGCGUGAGUGAAGAAGGUUUUCGGAUCGUAAAACUCUGUUGUUAGAGAAGAACAAGGAUGAGAGUAAAAUUGUUCAUCCCUUGACGGUAUCUAACCAGAAAGCCACGGCUAACUACGUGCCAGCAGCCGCGGUAAUACGUAGGUGGCAAGCGUUGUCCGGAUUUAUUGGGCGUAAAGCGAGCGCAGGCGGUUUCUUAAGUCUGAUGUGGAAGCCCCCGGGCUCAACCGGGGAGGGUCAUUGGAAAUCUGGGAGACUUGAGUGCAGAAGAGGAGAGUGGAAUUCUAUGUGUAGCGGUGAAAUGCGUAGAUAUAUGGAGGAACACCAGUGGCGAAGGC
rnacentral:rRNA from 1 species